GCCUUUUAAAAUUGCAAGGAAGAGUUUCAUCUUCAGGUAUGAAGGAGCAAAGACAAAUCUUCUGUCAUUGAGGAUCUCCCAUGACCAGUUCAUCAGUGACAGUCCACAUCAUACACUGUGCACAAUUGCAGGAGCACAAACAGAAGAACCAGCUGUGGAGAGUGCUGGAGUGUAGAGCUCUGGACCCCAGCCCUCCUUGAGGGUGGGUAAAAAUGGCCAUUUAUUAUCUACCAUUCCACUGUUCAUCAAAUAAAAGCAACAUGAAGUACCUUUUGAGUUUGCAACAAAUAUUUAUUUAACAAAAUGGAUGCCACCAACAUAUCU